GGUUGUCUGAAUUUAGAGUUGACGAGUUAGUUUUCUGUAUUUGGAGUUAAUAGGCUAGUUUGCUGUAUGAAUAAAGUUAAGUGUUGCGGUAGUUGUGAGGCGACUUGGAGGCGGGGAGCUUGUGGUCGGUGGGGGUGCCUGCGCCCUGGAGCGGGGGACAGCUUGUGACUACGAGAUAACAAUCUUGUUACCAUGCGAACACUGCCUGACUAAGAUUCCCGCCUUAGCUAGCUUAAUGUCUGUUAAAGUGAUUAGCCAAUCAGCAUGAAACAUGUGUGCCUUAGACUAUAUAAAUGUAUGUUUGCCAUACAAUAAAGCAGACACCUUGCUUGCAUCAAGCUGCGUCCCCGUCUCUCAAUCGCGGCAAAUUGGUGACCUCCGACGUGAUCGUCAGCGACGAAACCGCCGAGGAUUGAAAAACCGCCUACCUGGUGGCAUGUCGCGAGUCCCGCAGAACGUGGAAUGAGCUGCUGAAAGGAAGCAGGAUAAGCCGGCCGGCCAAACAAUCCCUCCGUCUGGAACGAGAGUGCUUACAAAAGUCGAUAACCGCUUCAGUAAAUAAGAUUUUUCUUGUACAAGCACAAGACCUCCCGAAAACUCCCAGUACAGAAAUGUUGGUGAAGCAAGACGUCCUCGAACUGGUUGGGCGCCGACCUUGGGAAGAAGCAAAUGUUUGAAAACAAAAAGGGGGAGAUGUGGGUUGUCUUGGCUGUAUUUGUGGGCAAUGUGCUGAUUUUAGUUAUUGGACCUGCUGUGUUAGCAUGGGAAGUUACUGGGGGGUUGUGGAAAAUUACAGCCGAUGGGUGUAAGAACAAAGCACAGGAGCUGGUGGUUUGGCAACAGUAUCUUGUUAUAGUCGCGCGAAGCUUUCCUAACACGAAAGGCAUGUAGUUACAAGGACCUAAGAUAAGAUAUGCAUGCUUUCUUACUAACCUAUCAUGAGCUCAGCUUUUGUAAUAUGUAUGAGCUAAUUAGUUGGUAUACCAAUCAGUAUAAUCCACGAUAGUAGUUGUAAUGUAUGUAACAGUAUAAAAGGAUUGUGUAGAGAACAAUAAAGUGGACACUUUGCUUGCA